rnacentral:rRNA from 1 species
GAUGAACGCUGGCGGCGUGCCUAACACAUGCAAGUCGAGCGAACAGAUAAGGAGUUUGCUCCUUGGACGUUAGCGGCGGACGGGUGAUUAACACGUGGGUAACCUACCUAUAACACUGUGCUAACUUCGGGAAACCGGCGCCAAUACCGGAGAAUAUUUAGAACCUCAUGGUUCGAUGGAGCAUGUUGGUUUUACUAUCACUUCUAGAUUAACCCGUGCCCUAGUAUCUAGUUGGUCGGGUAACGGCUUACCAAGGCGCCGUUGCGUAGCCGACAUGAGAGGGUGAACGGCCAAACUGGAACUGAGACACGGUCCAGACUCCUACGGGAGGCAGCAGUAGGGAAUCUUACGCGAUGGGGGAGAGCGUGACGGAGCAAAGUCGCGUGAGUGAUGAAGGUCCGAGGAUCCGAAAACGCUGUUAUUAGGGAAGAAGAUACGUGUAAGUAAAUGUGAACGUCUUGACGGUACCUAAUCAGAAAGCCACGGCUAACUACGUG